CCUGAUAAUUUGGCCACUGAAACGGCUCCCCCGCCUUAACUUCUCCUGCCCGUGCUUUGACCGCGGGAUCUACAAAAGGAUCUGAAAUUUAGAUUUAAACCAAAGAACAAGAAAAAAAAACACAAAGAACUAAAAUUUCUCCGAUAACGAUAUCAAGCAAAUGCAUCGAAGGGAAGAAGAAAGAGAAAGAGGGGUCCCGGCAAACCCGUUACAAAGGAGGAAUUCGGAAUCCAAAAGAAACGAGGAGGAACCCAAACCCCAACAAAAUCCGAGGGGCCAAACUAAUUAAAAACCUCACGCCACCCGUAGAAAGGGAGAUCCCGACGGAAAACCUAACCCUAAUACAAAAACUUUAGAACAGGAAUUAGAAAGAAAAGAACGUACUCGGCCGCGGACGUUUGGAUCGGACAUGCGAGAAAGAGAGGGCAACGAUCUGGGAUAAAGGCGAUGCAAGUUU
rnacentral:lncRNA from 1 species